rnacentral:rRNA from 1 species
GACGAAGGGGGGCUAGCGUUUGUUUCGGGAAUUACUGGGCGUAAAGCGCGUGUAGGCGGUUGCCCCAAGUCGGGGUGUGAAAAGCCCUUUGAGCUCAACUCAAGAAAUGCACUCGGGUACUGGGGUGACUUAGAGGGACCCGGAGAGGGAUAGUGGGAAUUCCCAGUGUAGUGGGUGAAAUACGUAGAGAUUUGGGGAAAGAACACCCAGUGGGCGAAAGGGCGGGCUAUCUG